rnacentral:rRNA from 1 species
AGGCGUAACGAUUUGGGCACUGUCUCAACAACAGACUCGGUGAAAUUGUAAUUCCGGUGAAGAUGCCGGAUACCUGCGACAGGACGGAAAGACCCCAUGGAGCUUUACUGUAGCUUGACAUUGGGUCUUGGUACUACAUGUACAGGAUAGGUGGGAGGCUUUGAAACCAGGACGCCAGUUUUGGCGGAGCCAUCCUUGGGAUACCACCCUUGUAGUACUGGGACUCUAACCAUAGGCCAUGAAUCUGGUCUUGGGACACUGUCAGGUGGGCAGUUUGACUGGGGCGGUCGCCUCCCAAAAGGUAACGGAGGCGCUCAAAGGUUCUCUCAGUACGGUCGGAAAUCGUACGUAGAGUGUAAAGGCAAAAGAGAGCUUGAUUGCAAGACAUACAGGUCGAGCAAGGAUGAAAAUCGGACUUAGUGAUCCGGUGGU